GCGCACCAGGCGAGAAACCUUCGCAAUGCGGGAAACCGCGACGAGGGGACUCCCAGUGCCUACGCUCAGCGUAGGCUGUUCCCGAGCCUAGAAAGCUCGGGGAGUAAGGGCUGGGUAAGACGGGUGCCAGCCGCCGCGGUAAUACCCGCAGCCCGAGUGGUGGCCACUAUUAUUGGGCCUAAAGCGUCCGUAGCCGGCCCGGUAAAUGCCUGGGUAAAUCGUGAGGCCUAACCUCACGAAUUCCGGGUAGACUGCCGGGCUAGGGACCGGAGGAGGGAGAGGGUACUCCAGGGGUAGGGGUGAAAUCCUGUAAUCCCUGGAGGACCACCGGUGGCGAAGGCGCUCUCCUAGGACGGGUCCGACGGUGAGGGACGAAAGCCAGGGGAGCGAACCGGAUUAGAUACCCGCGUAGU
rnacentral:rRNA from 1 species